AGCCCGUCCUGGAGUCUCAGGUUCAUCGUCCUCAGAGAUUUGAGCUGUGUGUGUCUGAGAAGAACGAGGCUUCAGGAAAGGCCACAGAAUAACGCCUGUUUAUGUGUGUCAGCCAUACUCUUCCUCGAGUAUCUUGCUGGUGUGCGUUCUUUGCUUUGCACUUAUGAAUCCUCUGCCUUCCUUAAAUCUCUUCUUCGAAGACCCUGAUACCAGCAGCCCUUCAUUUUUUAUCACUGUUGUUUUCCUCCUCCAGACUUUGAACUACUGUCUUUCCAUGCCCUCAGAACCAAGCAGACACCCGAUAGAUUAGAUUAGGCCGCUGAGAAUAAAAGGACUUUUUCUUCUGAAUUAUCUAUUUUCUUUUCGAAAGGAUCUUCUGGCAAAUCCCCAAAUGAACUAGUUUGAGACAGCUCUGAGCAUAGCUGCCAAUAACACCUACCAACUGGUAAUUCUCUUUUUAAAGAAGAGUGCCUGAGAAUCCUCUUUCAUUGUACCCUCACCAACAUUGGAUAUUGUGCUGGGUUGGCAUUCAGGAGGAUGCAUUCCAGCUAUGGGUUAUUCAAAGAGUUGAGUUUGAGCCUCACAAAGACCUGGAUGACAGCUAAAAGAAGUGUAAAGAAUUGGCAAGUAAAGCAAUUUUAUGAAGAAGGCAUUGGUUUUUACUUCCUAGAA